AGUAAUUUUAUUAUAAAAUUAUUUUUAAUUAAAAUAUUAUUAAUUUAUUAAUAUUUAAGUAUAUAUAAGAAAAAAUAAUAUAUAAUUAUAGUUUAUUAGUAAUGAAAAUGAAUUAGUUUAAUUAAAAUAAAGAAUUUUUUAUUAAAAGUACCUUUUGUAUCAGGGUUUAUUUAAUUAAUAAUUAAAAUUUAAUUAUUCUCGAAUUUAAAAGAUUUAAUUUAUUAUUUUUAAUAUUGUUGUAUAAAUAAUUAUAUAAUAAUAAAUUAGUAAUGAAAUGUUAAUCGUUUUUAAAUAUAUCUAGUUUUUUUAGAAAAAAAUUUAAUUUUAUUAUAAAUUAUUAUUUAAAUUUAAAUUUAAAUUUAAAUAUUUAUUUAUAAAAAAAUUUUUAGGGAUAAGCUUAAAAAUUGAAUUAUAUUAAUAAUUAAAAAUUAAUUAAAUUUAUGAUUAGAAAUUUCAAUAAUAUGAAUAAUUUUAUAAUUUAUAUAUAAAAAUAAUGAUUUUUAAAAAAAUUAAUUUAUAAAUAAAAAUAUUUAAUUUAAUUAAAAAAUUAAAUUAAUAAUGAUAAAAUUAGUAUAUUUUUAAUAUAUAAUUAAAUUUUAAAAAAUUUAAAAUUUAAAAUAAGGAAUUCGGCAAUUUAAUUGCUCGCCUGUUUAUCAAAAACAUGGUUUUUUGUUUAUAAUUUAAAAUUUAAUCUGCCCACUGAUUAAUUAAAGGGCCGCAGUAUAUUGACUGUGCAAAGGUAGCAUAAUCAUUUGUUUCUUAAUUGUUGACUUGUAUGAAUGAUUGGACGAGGUAAUUACUGUCUCAUUUUUAUUUAAAAUAAAAUUUUAUUUUUAAGUUAAAAAGCUUAAAUAAAAUUUAAGGACGAGAAGACCCUAUAGAGUUUAAUUAAUUUAGUAAAAAUUUUUAUUUUUGUAUUUAAAUUAUUUUUAUAAAUAUUAAUUUAAUUGGGGUGAUUAAAAAAUUUAAUAAACUUUUUAAAAUUUUAUUCAAAAAAUUUUGUUUAAAUUUGAUCCAGAAUUUUUGAUUAUUUGAUUAAAUUACCUUAGGGAUAACAGCGUUAUUAUUUUGGAAAGUUCAUAUUUAUAAAAUAGUUUGCGACCUCGAUGUUGAAUUAAGAUAAAUUUUUGGUGCAGUAAUUAAAAUUUUUAGUCUGUUCGACUAUUAAAUUCUUACAUGAUUUGAGUUCAAACCGGUGUGAGCCAGGUUGGUUUCUAUCCUAAAUUAUAUAAAAUAUUUUAGUACGAAAGGACCAUAUAUUUAAUUGAAAAUUUAAUUAUGAAUUACUUUGGCAGAAUAGUGUAAUGAAUUUAGAAUUCAUAAAUGUAUUUAUAUAAUACAG
rnacentral:rRNA from 1 species